rnacentral:rRNA from 1 species
UACGUAUGGUGCAAGCGUUAUCCGGAUUUACUGGGUGUAAAGGGAGCGCAGGCGGCACGGCAAGCCUGAUGUGAAAGCCCGCGGCCCAACCGCGGGACUGCAUUGGGAACUACCGGGCUGGAGUGCCGGAGAGGUAGGCGGAAUUCCUAGUGUAGCGGUGAAAUGCGUAGAUAUUAGGAGGAACACCAGUGGCGAAGGCGGCCUACUGGACGGUGACUGACGCUGAGGCGCGAAAGCGUGGGGAGCAAACAGG